AUGCCGAACUUCUGCGCUGCCCCCAACUGCACGCGGAAGAGCACGCAGUCCGACCUGGCCUUCUUCAGGUUCCCGCGGGACCCGGCUAGAUGCCAGAAGUGGGUGAAUUGUAGGAGAGCAGACUUAGAAGGUAAAACACCUGAUCAGCUAAAUAAACAUUAUCGAUUAUGUGCCAAACAUUUUGAGACUUCUAUGAUCUGUAGAACUAGUCCUUAUAGGACAGUUCUUCGAGAUAAUGCAAUACCAACAAUAUUUGAUCUUACCAGUCAUUUGAACAACCCACAUAGUAGACACAGAAAAUGAAUAAAAGAACUGAGUGAAGACGAAAUCAGGACACUGAAACAGAAAAAAAUUGAUGAAAUUUCUGAACAGGAACAAAAACAUAAACCAACAAUAGCAGUCCUCAGAAUCCCAGUGAAGAAGGGGGUGAAGGGCAAGAUGAGGACAUUUUACCUCUAACCCUUGAAGAGAAGGAAAACAAAGAAUACCUAAAAUCUCUAUUUGAAAUCUUGAUUCUUAUGGGAAAGCAAAAUAUACCUCUGGAUGGACAUGAAGCUGAUGAAAUCCCGGAAGGUCUCUUUACUUCAGAUAACUUUCAAGCACUGCUGGAGUGCCGGAUAAAUUCUGGUGAAGAGGUCCUGAGAAAACGCUUUGAAACAACAGCAGUUAACACAUUGUUUUGUUCAAAAACACAGCAGAGGCAGAUGCUAGAGAUCUGUGAGAGCUGUAUUCGAGAAGAAACUCUCAGGGAAGUGAGAGACUCACACUUCUUUUCCAUUAUCACUGAUGAUGUAGUGGACAUAGCAGGGGAAGAGCACCUACCUGUGUUGGUGAGGUUUGUUGAUGAAUCUCAUAACCUAAGAGAGGAAUUUGUAGGCUUCCUGCCUUACGAAGCUGAUGCAGAAAUUUUGGCUGUGAAAUUUCACACUAUGAUAACUGAGAAAUGGGGAUUAAAUAUGGAGUAUUGUCGUGGCCAGGCUUACAUUGUGUCUAGUGGAUUUUCUUCCAAAAUGAAAGUUGUUGCUUCUAGACUUUUAGAGUAAUAUCCCCAGGCUAUCUACACACUUUGCUCUUCCUAUGCCUUAAAUAUGUGGUUGGCAAAAUCAGUACCUGUUAUGGGAGUAUCUGUUGCAUUAGGAACAAUUGAGGAAGUUUGUUCUUUUUUCCAUCGAUCACCACAACUGCUUUUAGAACUUGACAAUGUAAUUUCUGUUCUUUUUCAGAACAGUAAAGAAAGGGGUAAAGAACUGAAGGAAAUCUGCCAUUCUCAGUGGACAGGCAGGCAUGAUGCUUUUGAAAUUUUAGUAGAACUCCUGCAAGCACUUGUUUUAUGUUUAGAUGGUAUAAAUAGUGACACAAAUAUUAGAUGGAAUAACUGUAUAGCUGGCCGAGCAUUUGUACUCUGCAGUGCAGUAACAGAUUUUGAUUUCAUUGUUACUAUUGUUGUUCUUAAAAAUGUGCUAUCUUUUACAAGAGCCUUUGGGAAAAAUCUCCAGGGGCAAACCUCAGAUGUCUUCUUUGCAGCCGGUAGCUUGACUGCAGUACUGCAUUCACUUAAUGAAGUGAUGGAAAAUACUGAAGUUUAUCAUGAAUUUUGGUUUGAGGAAGCCACAAAUUUGGCAACCAAGCUUGAUAUUCAAAUGAAACUCCCUGGGAAAUUCCGCAGAGCUCACCAGGGUAACUUGGAAUCUCAGCUAACUUCUGAGAGUUACUAUAAGGAAACCCUAAGUGUCCCAACAGUGGAGCACAUUAUUCAGGAACUUAAAGAUAUAUUCUCAGAACAGCACCUGAAAGCUCUUAAAUGCUUAUCUCUGGUACCCUCAGUCAUGGGACAACUCAAAUUCAAUACAUCAGAGGAACACCAUGCUGAUAUGUAUAGAAGUGACUUACCCAAUCCUGACACGCUCUCAGCCGAGCUUCACUGUUGGAGAAUCAAAUGGAAACACGGGGAAAGAUAUAGAGCUUCCAUCCACUAUUUAUGAAGUCCUCCACCUGCCUGACAUCAAGUUUUUUCCUAAUGUGUAUGCAUUGCUAAAGGUCCUGUGUAUUCUUCCUGUGAUGAAGGUUGAAAAUGAGCGGUAUGAAAAUGGACGAAAACGUCUUAAAGCAUAUUUGAGGAACACUUUGACAGACCAAAGGUCGAGUAACUUGGCUUUGCUUAAUAUAAAUUUUGAUAUAAAACACGACCUGGAUUUAAUGGUGGACACAUAUAUUAAACUUUAUACAAAUAAGUCAGAGCUUCCCACAGAGAAUUCAGAAACCUUGGAAAAUACCUAAGAGACUUUUAAAAAUAGAUUUUCUUAUAUUUUAUAUU